rnacentral:snoRNA from 1 species
AGCUUCAUUCUAGAUGAAAAUGGGCACUGUUGGCUAUAGUGGGCAAAAAUCGUUUAUGUGGCUAAAUACAGACACAGAGUACAGUU